AAAUGUUUUCCUGCCCCGUGUCAUUUUUCUCAGUUUCACCUUGUUAAAAACCUCACGAAAUCGUAGCAGUUUUUACAUCCCUGCUCCCGCUCCGUUGUUACUGAUUUAAACCAAAGUUCCCGGCUGAUUUUUCACUUGGUUUCCACCAUAAAUCAUCUUGUUUUGGAAUCAAACAACUGCCAAUGAUGACAAGAAGAGGGGAAAAAGGCAGAUUGCCUCUCUGGACAGCAAUUAGUUGCUAAAAUGUCUUCCCUGCAUUGGUGAUUGAAGAGCACAGUACUACAGAGUCUAGGAAAAAUACUCAUCUGAUUAUGCUAGAGGAACUCCUACCUGGAUUAUCUCAGGAGCUACUUGCAAAGAAGGCAAAUACUCUUGCUGAAGAUACUGAAUGCACUCAGGACCCUAAAGAAAAGCAGUACACAUUUUUUUCAUGUCUUUUUUUUUUUUUUUUUU